rnacentral:lncRNA from 1 species
AUGGGGAGCCCUCUCAGCCCAGUAGUAGCAAAUUUCUAUAUGGAAUACUUUGAAAAACAGGCCCUAGAAACAGCACCAAAAAAGCCAACUGUUUGGUUCAGAUACGUAGAUGACACCUUCACAAUUUGGAGCCAUGGAGAGGAAGAACUCAGCAAGUUCCUGGACCAUCUUAACAGCAUCCACCCAAACAUCCAAUUCACCAUGGAAAAAGAAAAGGAAGGAAAACUGCCAUUUCUAGAUGUUCUGGUCAUCCGCAAACCCAAUCAACAAUUGGGCCACACAGUUUACAGAAAACCUACACAUACAGAUAGAUACCUUCAUAAAAACUCCAACCAUCACCCAAGUCAAAAAAGGAGCACAAUCAAAGCCCUGACAGACCGUGCACAAAGAAUCUGCGAACCUCACCUCCUCCAAGGUGAACUCAACCACCUAAACUGGGCUCUACAGGCCAAUGGAUACUCCACCACAGACAUCAGAAGAGCUGCAAGGCCAAGAACAAGCCAUGAGAGUCAAGACAAAGAUCCACCCAGAGGAAAGGUGUUCUUACCAUACAUCAAGGGAACUACUGACCGCAUAGGGAAGCUGAUGAAGAAGCACAACCUACAAACUAUCUACAGACCCACGAAGAAAAUCCAACAAAUGCUACGGUCAGCGAAGGACAAGAGGGAUCCUCUCUCUUCUGCAGGAGUCUACCGGAUACCAUGCAGCUGUGGACAAGUCUACAUAGGGACCACCAAACGCAGCGCCCAAACAAGAGUCAAAGAACAUGAAAGGCACUGCAGACUAAUUCAACCAGAGAAAUCAGCCAUAGCAGAGCAUUUGAUGAACCAGCCUGGACACAGAAUACUAUUUGAGAACACAAAAAUGCUGGACCAUUCUAACAACUAUCAUGUCAGACUACACAGAGAAGCCAUUGAAAUCCACAAGCAUGUGGACAACUUCAACAGAAAGGAAGAAACCAUGAAAAUGAACAAAAUCUGGCUACCAGUAUUACAAAACUCCAAAAUCAAAACAGUAGAUGGGAACCAACACAAUGAGGACUUGACUGAACAAAGGAUGCCCCCAGGCAAGGGACAAAACAUUUCCAGUGCCAAUUAG